CAAGACGUAAUUGACGGGGCAGGCGGCGCGACAGCAGCUGGAGGGCCGAGGAGGCGGCGCGGCCGGUCGUGUCCUCGCCAUGAGGCCGCAGCAGGCGCCGGUGUCCGGGAAGGUCUUCAUUCAGCGAGACUACAGCAGUGGCACACGCUGCCAGUUCCAGACCAAGUUCCCCGCGGAGCUGGAGAACCGGAUUGAUAGACAGCAGUUUGAAGAAACAGUUCGAACAUUAAAUAACCUUUAUGCAGAAGCAGAGAAGCUUGGGGGCCAAUCAUAUCUUGAAGGCUGUUUGGCUUGUUUAACGGCAUACACCAUCUUCUUAUGCAUGGAAACUCAUUAUGAGAAGGUUCUGAAGAAAGUCUCCAAAUACAUUCAAGAACAGAAUGAGAAGAUAUAUGCUCCCCAAGGCCUCCUCCUGACAGAUCCCAUUGAGAGAGGACUUCGAGUUUUAGAUUGAAAUUACCAUUUAUGAAGACAGAGGCAUGAGCAGUGGAAGAUAAACCAUAGAAUUAAAGAUCCCACUUUAAGCUGGGACCCUCAUCUGUCCACUGGCCGAUCACAGAGUGUCCCCUACCUCCUCUCCAGAGCAUCAUUCCUUUGUAUCUGCUGCCAGAGCCAUGGUGCCAUUUACUCCAAGGACUGACUUUCUAAAAUUCCGCACCUGGGGUGACCUCUAGUUGCUCAGCAUCCACUUUGUGUCUCGAAAUUGUGUAGGAUUCUGUCAUCUUUUAAUUAGUUUCUGAGAAAACACAAUGAAGCAUUUUGCUUUUUUAUUCAAAGCCAUUUAAUAAAAUAUGCUGUCCGCCCAAUGCAAAGUUGAUUUCUUAUGUGCCACCAGUACCAUUGGUUCUCUUCAUUCCUUGGGUGAGCUUCCCAGAUGACUUUAGACUUCAACAAGUCGUAUCUUCACCAGUGUUCAGUCUUAUUCCCUCAAGUUAGUAAAACGUUUUUCUCUGGGAUUUUGGUGAGGGAUAGGCUGUAUCUGUGGUUUUGCUAAUGCAUCUCCCAGAUUUCAAGGAACCACCAGUUUUGCCAUGAGUCAGAUCUUAAGAAGAUCCAUUUUUGCUGUUUAAUUUCUCAAACUACAGCUCAUUAGAAAGAUAAUGUAUAAUGUUAUUUGUUUUAUUCUAGCAGUUAUUUUUAAUUAAACAGUAUUUAAAGCAAUUUCUAGUUAUUUUCUUUGGAGAGCUUUGUUAUUAUUGCAUUACCAUGAAGGUUGGGAAGAUGUGUGUUUUGCUUGUUCAUUACAAAAAAUAAGUAAGCACAAUAAAGUGGAUGCUAAACCAUCAAACACAUAAAUGUUUCCUGCUGUGUCCCUGAAUGUGUAAUAAACAAGUGUAAUAUUUUAAUUAUAGUUUUGUUAUAAAUGUAACUUAUGAGGAAAAAAUUUGAUAGGAAUAAUACUGUAUAUUGCUAAUUUUUAACUAUCCUUACUGGCAAAUCUUAAGAAUUCUAGACCUUCCUCAUAUACAGUAUUCAGUGCACAGAAAUCUUAUGGUUCAAGUAAAGUAAGUGAUUUCCAAGUAAAACUCCCAAGUCUAAGUCGGUAUUUCUAGUCCUUUUUUUGUCUGUACAUUUCUUAGUACCAGGGCUUCUUAUGCCCUUAGUUCAUCUUUGGGGUUUGAGAGCACUGUAUCUAAAUAGAGAGUUUAAGAAAUAUAUUAGGAGAGAAUGAAACAGUUAAAAGUUUUACUUUCAGAGAUAUUGUAGGUGCUAAUACUGGAUUUAAUCUUUCAGAUUUAAUUUUUCUUAUGGGUUUGUUAGUUAUUCAAUGAACCCCAUAAGUCUAUGUAAUACUUUAAUUGUAUAAAAACCCUUUUGUUACUUUACAGCCUGUAAGAGUAUGUCUGUCUGCCUUUUAAACUGUUGCAAUAACUUUGCUGAUAUAUUAACACAUUAGUAAAACUUUUCUUAAACAAA